AACAGUUCGUAGGUUCGUCUCAGCGACUCGUCGGCUCCCAGACUCUGAUAGUAGUUUCCGUACGGAGCGAGCUGCAGGGCGGAGCUAUCAGGGAAGAGCUCUGCUCCGUCCUGAUUGGCCUGCAGGAUAUCAGCUGAGGUAGACUUACGAACUCAAAGAAGAGUCUCUGGGCGACCUGGUGGAGGUGUUGAACUCUGCUGACGGCGAUGGAGAACAGACGCUGGCCGUCUGUGAUUGGCUGAGAGGAGACGCCCAGAGACACCACCGACAACAGGAGGACGACUGAGAGACGCAGGAGACAGCGGCGGCGGCGGUGGCGAGGUUCUCUGGUCUGACGGCAGUCUGGGUGACCAGGAACAGGUUCCCCGUCCUGGACCGUCGGCGUUCUGGAAGUCCAUCGGCAGGUCUACAACGGAUUCUGAAAAAGAGGAUUUGAUCUGGAGAAGUUGGGAAUUCUUCAUCAGCUUUGUUAAUAUGUGACAAAAUGUUGUAGUACAAUCCAUAUUUAGAUAUUGAUGUUCGUCUGUGUGACUGAUCGAGUCGAGGACAUUUCACUUUCACACCUUUGACUUCUUCUAUUGAACAUUAAAGGAACCAGCUGCAGCAGCUAAUCACUGGAUGCAAGUUUGCAAAAUUAUUUUCUUUUUUAUGAAUAAUAUCGAUCAAAAUCACGGUUUAAUUCACGGUGAGCAUUACGGCAACAAUAAAUGCUCUUUUUAACCUGAUUUUAGGGUUUUAGUCAGUAAAAUUCAAGAAAUUAGUGGCGAUAGAAUGAAUUUGCGUUAUCGUGUAAAUUUAAUACUGAUACUAAUUGGUUUUCGGAUACGGAACGGAUAUGACGUCACGUUGCUCAGACUACCACAAUAAAAUCUUUGAGAAACUUAUUUUCAAGCAAUUAUCACAAUACAUCAAUUUAUUUAACCUUUUAUCUCCAUUUAAUCAGGCUUUAGACCGAAUCACUCCACCACCACGGCUCUUUAAAAUGUACUAAUGAUGUGUUCUCAUCCUUUGAUAAAGGCCAACUGACAGGUGCAAUUUAAAUCGAUCUUUCCAAGGUUUUCGAUAUGGUUGAUCACUACCUCCUACUUGACAAGCUCUAUUCUAUUGGUUUAAAUCAAAAUGCUCUCCUCUGGUUUAAUGCCUAUCUUCAUAAUAGACGUCAGUGUGUUGUCAUUCAAGGUUCUCAGUCGGACUAUUUAAUUGUUGAAAAGGGUGUUCCACAAGGUUCCACCUUGGGACCACUUCUUUUUUCCAUCUUUAUCAACGACCUACCUCAAAUAUGCUCAAAUUGUCUUGUUCAUCUUUAUGCUGAUGACACUGUUAUUUACAUUUCUAACUCUGAUAUAUUACAAAUUCAGAAUUCUUUACAGUUUGAUUUUAAUUUGGUCUAAAACUGGUUUCAUAACAACAAACUUGCAUUGAAUAAAAAGACGUCCUGCAGCAUGGUGUUUGAUACGCGACAUAAUCGUUCACAUUACUUGGAUUUGCAUAUUCAUUUUGUUGAUGGGUCACCCCUUGAGAAAGUUGAUUCAUUCAGAUAUCUUGGACUUUGGAUUGACCGUGAACUCUCCUUUAAGCCCCACAUUGAUUUUAUUAUAAAACGAACAUAUGAUUGUCUGAGUUCACUUUAUCGCUCAAUUAAUUGUUUUACUUUUGAAGUCAGAAAAAGAAUAAUUUCACAGUUGAUACUACCUAUUAUUGAUUAUGCUGAUAUUGUCUAUCAAAACAUCUCUGAUACUUAUCUUAGGCCCCUUACUGUUGUGUAUAAUUCUCUUUGUAGAUUAGUCUUGAGGUGUCCUUAUAGAACUCACCAUUGUUUCAUGUAUGAAUCACUUAAUUGGUUGCAGCUGAAAUCUAGAAGGACAUUACACUGGGUUCAGUUUAUUUUCAAAGGUGUUUAUUUUAAUGUUCUUCCUAUUUGAAACAGUUUUUGGUUCCAUGAAGAUCUUCAUAUUCACUCAGACAUAAAUGCAACAUCCCUCUUUCUUUGUCCAAAGAAGUUUCAAAGAAGUUGGAGGCAGGUCAUUCCAAUACAAAGCUCCAUCAGACUGGAAUCAUCUCCCUCUUUCUCUGAGAUCUACUACCUCUUUCCGCUGCUUCAGGACAUCUUUAUUUUCUCAUCUUAAAACAACUCUGUAUUUGCAGUGGAUGUUUUCUAUGUAAUGCUGUUUAGUCUGUAUGUGUUUUUUGUAUUUGUGUCUAUAGGACCCCCUCGAACAUGAGAUGCUACAUCUCAAGGGGCUAUCCUAUCCUUUCAAUGAAUUCUGCUUAAAAGCGGUAACUUCCUUCUACGUCCACAUAGACUCAGAUGAAGCAGAUAGAUCCAUCCUGGUGUUAAAACAUCUGUUUAGAAAUUGUUAUCAUUUUUUAUGUCUGAUAAUGCGUCCAUUGCAGCAGCUCUUUAUUGAUGUGUUAGAAUAUAUUAAACUGUUUUAUUUGGCAUUAAUUUAUUAUACUAUAUUAAUUAAUAAUGCCCCCCCCCCCACCCCCUUUUGAGUAUAAACUGACUGAUGUGACUUUUUCUGUUUAGUGGAAAAUGUUCUGAUGACACCUUUAAACUCAGAGAUGAGGGAUGCAGGAGACAGUGUGGUUUCAUUGUUUUCCUUAAAGCUUCAGUGGAAACUGAAUGAAGCUGAAUGAAUAUGAAUGCUGAGGAGUGAAUGAGGAGGACUUUCCUCUGGUGUCCUUGAAUCAUCACAUUUAUCUACAAACUGCAGCUGAAAGUCAUUCAGAAAAGUUGUAGACAAAACCCUCCGAUGCGUUCUGUGGUUUUCCUUCCUGUUUUCAGAGAUCCUCGACUCGUCUGCGUCUCCGUCUCUUUCUGUCUAAACCUAAACUGAAGCUGAACUUCCUGCCUCGUACUAAACCGUCUCCCUGCUCUCUUCACGGUAAAUGUAAACUGAACAUUUCGGGGGUUAAACCGCACGUCGAGGAGUUCGAUGAAUGACGACACAGACGGCUUCGCUCUGAUUCAUUCGUCAAAAUGGAACCUAAUAACGUCUUCAGGGUGAAAUCAGGGAAAAGUUCAUGAUUCAGCAAACUGAUGUCUUAGUUUCCAUCUUUCAUUAACCCUUUAAACACUGUCAGCCUUUAAACCCUCAUCACAGGUUCAACACGUCAACAACUUCACUAAUAAACUGAUUUAAAACCUUCAGAAGAAGAAAUUAAUAAAUAAUGAAUUAGAACUAUCUGGUUCUUCUUCCUGUCCUGAGUCCUUUAGAGGGUCCCGAGCCUCAGGUUGGGAACCUCUUCAGUUUGUUUUUAAUUAAUUAACUCAUUCAUAAUUAAUUCAUUAAUUAAUAAUUGAUGAUUUAGUUCAGAUAUGUUAAUGAGGGUUGUUAAAGGAAUAACUACUGAAUAAAUACACAGACGAUAU